ACAUGCAAGUCGAACGAACUCUGGUAUUGAUUGGUGCUUGCAUCAUGAUUUACAUUUGAGUGAGUGGCGAACUGGUGAGUAACACGUGGGAAACCUGCCCAGAAGCGGGGGAUAACACCUGGAAACAGAUGCUAAUACCGCAUAACAACUUGGACCGCAUGGUCCGAGUUUGAAAGAUGGCUUCGGCUAUCACUUUUGGAUGGUCCCGCGGCGUAUUAGCUAGAUGGUGGGGUAACGGCUCACCAUGGCAAUGAUACGUAGCCGACCUGAGAGGGUAAUCGGCCACAUUGGGACUGAGACACGGCCCAAACUCCUACGGGAGGCAGCAGUAGGGAAUCUUCCACAAUGGACGAAAGUCUGAUGGAGCAACGCCGCGUGAGUGAAGAAGGGUUUCGGCUCGUAAAACUCUGUUGUUAAAGAAGAACAUAUCUGAGAGUAACUGUUCAGGUAUUGACGGUAUUUAACCAGAAAGCCACGGCUAACUACGUGCCAGCAGCCGCGGUAAUACGUAGUGGCAAGCGUUGUCCGGAUUUAUUGGGCGUAAAGCGAG
rnacentral:rRNA from 2 species